UUUUUUUUUUUUUUUGAGACGGGGUUUUGCUCUUGUUGCCUAGGCUGGAGUGCAACGGCGCAAUCUUGGCUCACUGCAACCUCUGCCUCCCAGGUUCAAAUGAUUCCCCUGCCUCAGCCUCCCGAGUUGGAAUUACAGGGGCCUGCCACCGUGCCCAGCUAAUUUUUGUAUUUUUAGUAGAGACGGGGUUUCACCAUGUUGGCUAGGCUGGUCUUGAACCCCUGACCUCAGGUGAUCCACCCACCUCGGCCUUCCAAAGUGCUGGGAUUACAGGCGUGAGCCACUGUGCCCGGCUGUUUUCAUUUCAGAGUACAAUUCACAGGCUAUGAUGACAUAGGAAGCCUAACUGACCAUGUCAUUAGGAGGGACCUUUACUCUCACCUGUGGCUUCACACUGGAGCAGUCAACAGUGGUAACUAUCCACACUGGUUCCAGCAGAAGCCUGAACAAGUCCCAGUACACUGACUUAUGAGACAUACAGGAAAUACUCAUAGACCCCCUCCUGGUUCUGAAGCUCCCUCCAUGGGGACAAAGCUGUCCUUGCCCUCUUGGGAAAUCAGUCUGAGGUUGCUGAAUAUUAUUGCUGGCUGUACAAGUUACUGGUAGUAGUAGUUAGUAGGUUUGUUAUACAAGUAGUAUGAGUUAGCAAUUAUGAAUCUAUGUAAUGUGCUCUCUAGAAUUGAGCAAAUAAGAAAAUAUAGUGUGGUUAAUGGGAGCUAGUUUUCUCAUUUUCUCGCUAAAAGACAAUAUAUAAUAUGAAAAAGCAGAAGGCCAGAAUGAAUCCAGGAGUGUUAGGAUUAUAUAGGGGAUAUCAGAAUCACCUCUUUCAAUAGAUACUUAUAGAAAUACUAUACACACAUAUACACAGUAUAUAUGAGAACCCAAUGACAGGGUUCUUUUACAAGGCCAAGUACAGAAUAUAAAAAUUUGCAUAUAAAGGUUAUGUUAUUACCACCAGGAAGUGAAUGUAGACACUAGAACCUAGAAGGGAAGUUUCCUGGCUUCUCUUGAGCAUUUUGAUUCUUCCAAACCAAAGAAGUUCUAGGUAUAGUUAUAUCCUGAGACCAGAACACCAAGUCCUGACUCAGGCUUCUAAGGAGCAUAUUAUGCACAUUUCAUGCUGUACUUACCCUAUUGUAGCAGCUAUCACGGUUCAUUUAAAUUGCCAAUUUACCGAUGUAGACAUGGCUGUAUGCCCCAAGAAUGGCAUACUGACAGGUUUAGUAGAUCGAAUUAUUAGCUCCAAACAUUACUCCUACCUGUGUCUGUGUAUGUUUGUCAUGUGACUUAUCCCCCUUGACUUUGUGCUUGGCCCUGUACUCACUUUGGGUAAUGGAACAUUUGUGGACCUUAUACAAGCUUAAGCUUAAACGUCCUGGCACCAUUUGGCUUGCCCUCUUUUGCUACUCUCAUUACUAAGAUCUUGUCCUGGAUAGCUUUUGGCGCUUCAGGCUGGGUUUCCAAAUAAACACGUGUGAGUAAAAAUGCUGGUAUUUGUGAUUGUUACAUGGCAAUAUAUGAAUGAUACAUCUAUCAUAAAGCAGACCCUCGAUGUUGGUGUGGUGAGUGAACACACACAGGCACAAUUGUAUGUAUGUAGAUCCCUCUCCUGCAGAGGGCAGUCAUCAAUAUCACCAACUUAACUAAGAGGGGAAGAGUCUUAUUUGGUGCAGUCUCUCUAAUUCCAAGAGCAGUGGAGAAGUCUAACACCAGGGCAGUGAGCAUGAGCAUCUGAACAAUCCUUCCUUUUAUGCUGGCCCUGACACAUCGUAACAGGCCAAGAAACCUGGAAGUGCCUCCCUGGAGGCAGCUGGGAGAGUGAUGAGAGAUCGGGCUACGUGGGUGAUUUAUUUAUAUUCUUCUAUUGUCUAAGAUGGAUAUGUUUAUUUAAAAUUGGAAACGACUGCUAUAAUUAAAGCAUUGAAUAAAACUAAAAUUUUUAAUUAAGAAUUAAAAAUGUAUAUAUUCUCCAACAUCCUACCUGUCAAAGAAAAUUACAGGUGGUUAUUAAAUUGUCAGAUAAAAGAAAAACUUUCAGAGCAAAGGAAAGAAAUGAAUAUUUAUAAUCUCCAAGCAUUGCAUGUAUAUUUUCUCUAAUUCUACCAUUUGGCUACAUUUUUAAGGUGCCCUAAAAUUUGAUUUUUUUUUUUAAUUUUCUUUUGCUUUCCAAUUCUCAUUAUUGCCCAUGAAGUCCCAUCUUUAAUUUUUUUAACAACAAAAUAUUAGGAGAAAAUUAAUCAUCAUUUAAUCUAUUUUUUUUUUUUAAUUUUUGAGAUGGGGUCUUGCUCUGUCAUCCAGGGUGGAGUGCAGUGGCACAAUCAUGGCUCAUUGCAGCCUCUACCUCUGGAGCUCAAGUGAUCCUCCUACCUCAGCCUGCCAGGUAGCUGGGACUAUAGGUGUGUACCACCACACCUGGUUCAGUUUUUAAAAUUUGUGUAGAGAUGGGGUCUCACUGUGUUGCUGAGGCUGGUCUCAAACUCCUAGGCUCAAGUAAUCCUCCCACCUCAGCCUCCCAACGUGCUGGGAUUAUAGGUGUGAGCAAUAAUCAUUUAAUCUAAAAUUCUCUCAGAUGAGUAGGUAUGGGAACAUUUUUUAAAAAUAAUAAUAAUAUUAAAAUAAUAAUAUAAUCUAAAACCCUCAUUUCACAUAUCUCAGGCCCAAAUUUUCAUCCAUCCAUCCAUACAUUCAUCAAUUCAUUCACUCAACCAUCAAACAUUUAUAUUUUUGGUUUUUUUGGACACAGAGUCUUGCUUUGUCACCUAGGCUGGAGUGCAUUGGCGCGACCUCUGCUCACUGCAGCCUCUGCCUCCCAGGUUCAAGUGAUUCUCCUGCCUCAGUCUCCCAUGUAACUGGGACUACAGGUGCAUGCCACCACGCCUGGCAACUUUUUAAAAAAAUUUUUAGUAGAGACGGGGUUUCGCCAUGUUAGACAAGAUGGCCUCGAUCUCCUGACCUCGUGAUCCGCCCACCUCUGUCUCUCAAAGGGCUGGGAUUACAGGUGUGAGCCACCACAGCUGGCCCAUCAAGCAUUUAUUAAGGGCCCAUUCUGGGUGACCUAUUAUGUUAGGUUGGACUGUGACGGUAUAAAUACAGGACAAAUGAGAAGGGUUCCUUCUGUCAAGGAUAACACAUUCAAAGAUACUAGGAAUAAAAUAAAAACUUCUAUGCUAAUUACUAUUAUAGAGAAUUACCAAAUUUUUGAAAGCUCAACUAAUAAAGCAACCACCCUUUUCUGGAUAUAUCAAGAAAGUGUCUGCCUUGGAUGUGGGGUCUUAGAAAAAGAAGAGUAAGUAUGGAGGGAAUGAGGUCAUCUCCAACAGAGGAACUGUGUGAUGGUAUGGACUACAUAUUUCUGUCACCCCCAAAAUUCUUAGAUUGAAACCCUAACCCCCCAAUGUGAUAGUAUUUGGAGGUAGAGCCUUUGUGAAAUCAUUAGGUUUAGAAGAGGACAUGAGAGUGGAGCCCUCAUGAUAGAAUUAGUGUCCUUAUAAGAAGAAAAGGAGACUAGAGCUUUCCGCCAUGCGAGGCUACAGAGAAGAAAGGUGCCAUCUACAAGCCAGAAAGUGGACCCUCACCAAGAACCAAAUCUGCAGACACCUUAAUCUUAGACUUCCCAGCCUCCAGAGCUAUGAGAAAUAAAAGUUCGUUGUUUAAGCCACCCAGUCUUUGCUAUUUUUCUUAUAGCGGCCUGAACUAAGACAGCCUGGCAAACACAGGAAAGGAAGUUAUAAAAGGGCACCCACGGACUGGGCGCAGUGGCUUACGCCUGUAAUCUCAGCACUUUAGGAGGCCGAGGCAGGCAGAUCACUUGAGGCCAAGGAGUUCGAAACCAGCCUGGCCAACAUGGUGAAACUUCGUCCCUACGAAAAAUACAAAAAUUAGCCGGGGGUGGCGGUGGGAGCCUGUAAUCCCAGCUGCUCAGGAGGCUGAGGCAGGAGAAUCGCUUUAGCCCAGGAGGUGGCGGUUGCAGUGAGCCAAGAUUGCUCCACUGCAUGCCAGCCUGGGUGAU
rnacentral:lncRNA from 1 species